AGUGAACGCUGGCGGUAGGCCUAACACAUGCAAGUCGAGCGGCAGCACAGUAAGAGCUUGCUCUUACGGGUGGCGAGUGGCGGACGGGUGAGGAAUACAUCGGAAUCUACUUUUUCGUGGGGGAUAACGUAGGGAAACUUACGCUAAUACCGCAUACGACCUACGGGUGAAAGCAGGGGAUCUUCGGACCUUGCGCGAUUGAAUGAGCCGAUGUCGGAUUAGCUAGUUGGCGGGGUAAAGGCCCACCAAGGCGACGAUCCGUAGCUGGUCUGAGAGGAUGAUCAGCCACACUGGAACGUAGACACGGUCCAGACUCCUACGGGAGGCAGCAGUGGGGAAUAUUGGACAAUGGGCGCAAGCCUGAUCCAGCCAUACCGCGUGGGUGAAGAAGGCCUUCGGGUUGUAAAGCCCUUUUGUUGGGAAAGAAAAGCAGCAGGUUAAUACCCCGCUGUUCUGACGGUACCCAAAGAAUAAGCACCGGCUAACUUCGUG
rnacentral:rRNA from 1 species